rnacentral:rRNA from 1 species
GACGAACGCUUGCGGCGUGCUUAACACAUGCAAGUCGAACGGAAAGGCCCUGCUUUUGUGGGGUGCUCGAGUGGCGAACGGGUGAGUAACACGUGAGUAACCUGCCCUUGACUUUGGGAUAACUUCAGGAAACUGGGGCUAAUACCGGAUAGGAGCUCCUACUGCAUGGUGGGGGUUGGAAAGUUUCGGCGGUUGGGGAUGGACUCGCGGCUUAUCAGCUUGUUGGUGGGGUAGUGGCUUACCAAGGCUUUGACGGGUAGCCGGCCUGAGAGGGUGACCGGCCACAUUGGGACUGAGAUACGGCCCAGACUCCUACGGGAGGCAGCAGUGGGGAAUAUUGCACAAUGGGCGGAAGCCUGAUGCAGCAACGCCGCGUGCGGGAUGACGGCCUUCGGGUUGUAAACCGCUUUCGCCUGUGACGAAGCGUGAGUGACGGUAAUGGGUAAAGAAGCACCGGCUAACUACGUGCCAGCAGCCGCGGUGAUACGUAGGGUGCGAGCGUUGUCCGGAUUUAUUGGGCGUAAAGGGCUCGUAGGUGGUUGAUCGCGUCGGAAGUGUAAUCUUGGGGCUUAACCCUGAGCGUGCUUUCGAUACGGGUUGACUUGAGGAAGGUAGGGGAGAAUGGAAUUCCUGGUGGAGCGGUGGAAUGCGCAGAUAUCAGGAGGAACACCAGUGGCGAAGGCGGUUCUCUGGGCCUUUCCUGACGCUGAGGAGCGAAAGCGUGGGGAGCGAACAGGCUUAGAUACCCUGGUAGUCCACGCUGUAAACGGUGGGUACUAGGUGUGGGGUCCAUUCCACGGGUUCCGUGCCGUAGCUAACGCUUUAAGUACCCCGCCUGGGGAGUACGGCCGCAAGGCUAAAACUCAAAGGAAUUGACGGGGCCCCGCACAAGCGGCGGAGCAUGCGGAUUAAUUCGAUGCAACGCGUAGAACCUUACCUGGGUUUGACAUGGAUCGGGAGCGCUCAGAGAUGGGUGUGCCUCUUUUGGGGUCGGUUCACAGGUGGUGCAUGGCUGUCGUCAGCUCGUGUCGUGAGAUGUUGGGUUAAGUCCCGCAACGAGCGCAACCCUUGUUCACUGUUGCCAGCACGUUAUGGUGGGGACUCAGUGGAGACCGCCGGGGUCAACUCGGAGGAAGGUGGGGAUGACGUCAAGUCAUCAUGCCCCUUAUGUCCAGGGCUUCACGCAUGCUACAAUGGCUGGUACAGAGAGUGGCGAGCCUGUGAGGGUGAGCGAAUCUCGGAAAGCCGGUCUCAGUUCGGAUUGGGGUCUGCAACUCGACCUCAUGAAGUCGGAGUCGCUAGUAAUCGCAGAUCAGCAACGCUGCGGUGAAUACGUUCCCGGG